rnacentral:piRNA from 1 species
UCUCUAGCUUCGGAGGGCAGAGA